UUCCUAGGAAGAGAUCGAUUUUAAGUGUUUUUCAAAACUUUCAAAAUGGCAGAAAAUCUAUAUAACCGGAAGUUAUGGGUUCUUGAGGCAAAUUUGUUCCUCAUGAGGAGAGGCAUCUCUGUGCAAAGUUUCAUGUCUCUACGACAUACGGGGCAUGAGAUAUGCCCAUUCAAAGUUUGCGAUUUCAAUCGGACAAUUUGCAUCACCACAGACACAGACACAGACACAGACACACACACACACACACACACACACACAAGUUUUCGUCAUUAUAUAGUAAGAUGUGUGUCUUGAGGCAAAUUUGUUCCUCAUGAGGAGAGGCAUCUCUGUGCAAAGUUUCAUGUCUCUACUACAUACGGGGCAUGAGAUGUGCCCAUUCAAAGUUUGCGAUUUCAAUCGGACAAUUUGCAUCACAACAGACACGCACACAAACACAAACACACAAAAACACACACACACACGCACACAGAGUUUUCAUCAUUAUAUAGUAAAAUGUGACAUCCUGUCAGUCAGACCAGGCAAUGCAGGAAAGCCACGUCAGGUCAGCACAUGAAUCCACGGAAAAGGACUGAUAAAUUAAUGUGACACUUCACAUCAUCUGACACCAACUAACGCUGAAUUUACAAAGGGACAUCACCCAAGCUGAACUGCCACAGACUCGGAAGCAGCUGUAGAGCCGGAGUAUCUGCCGUCCUGCUGAGAAAUCAAGAGCAUCACAACGCCCAGAGAAAUACAAGAUGGCUGCUGGCCGUAUCGCUCGUGCUUUUGAAUAUGCCGGGAACGAAAGGGGCAGGGCAGCAUUCAGAGACAAAACACUGCGUAGCAAAAAAGACACUCUGUUUUAUCAUACAGGUGCUGAUGGUCAAACAUGCAGCCUCAUGUAUUUCAGCAGACGUUUUAUACAAUGGUUGGAUACACUGAAGCAACAAUACCCUAAACUUCAGGAAACUCAACAGGAUGGUAAAAUCAUCCUUCAGUCCAAGGAAGGUAUCAUAACUUUAGAUCCGAGUGUAAAGGCUGUGGUACAAGGCCGACAACUAAUGGGGAGGUUUGAGAGAGACUUUCCACAAAUGAAGCAAACGGUCAGGCCAGGCUCUGACAAUGCUAACAAUAGAGCUCGUCCUUUUGCGUACCCUAUAGCACAUACAAAUGAGAAAAAACGUCACAAGUUCAGAAACAGGAGACUGCAAAAAAAUCACGACACUUUGUUUUCUUGUGUUACUGUCAAAGAUAGAGUUACUACAAGAUGGAACCUCAUGUUCUUUAGCAUGCUUGUAAAAGAAUGGCUAGGUGCAAUGCGGCAAAAUUAUCCUGAACUUAGGCCAGACACACCGGACAAUAUGAUCACACUCAAGUCCAAUGUAGGUACCAUAAGCUUUUAUCCUGAGGUAAAAGUUGUGGUAGAAGGCAAGCUAAUGAAGAGGUUUGAGAGAGAUUUUCCACAAAUGAGACAAACGGCCCAAUCUACUGACUUAUCAGCAGCAAUGGGAAGGUUAACCUUAAACAAUGAGGAAUAACAUCCUGAUGAGCCAGAGGGUGAGGGCACACUUGACACACCACCCAACCCACCAACUGAAGAGAAAGAAUGCCUGAUGAAUAAGGAGAGAAACUAGAAUUACCACCCCGCUGUUGUUUGCCUCCACGCACCAGUCAAGUUUCUCUUACAGUGAAAACAUGAAUGCUUUACAACCACUGCCCCCACAAAGGCAUAAAACACAGAAUAAAACAUUAUAAAUAGCGGAUUCUUAAAGCUUUAUCCUACUACUUUAUUUUAGGAAUAUGUAAUUGGGUUGUAAAAUCUAUUAUAUAUUGUUUUCUGAUUUGUAUUUAG